rnacentral:misc_RNA from 1 species
GUGAGUCAUCGAAUCUUUGAACGCACCUUGCACUCUUUGGUAUUCCGAAGAGUAUGCUUGUUUGAGUAUCAUUAAAUUCUCAAACCACUACUUGGUUUUAUAUCAAGUCAGUGGCUUUGGAUGUGGAGGUUGCAGGCUUCUUGUAAAGUCUGCUCUUCUUAAAAGCAUUAGUGGUUAUUGAUUCCACUUCUUGGUGUGAUAAUAUCUACGCCUUGUAAGAACGGAUCUAAUGUAGCUGCUCUCAAACCGUCUUUAUUGACAAUUUGAACCAUUUGAUCUCAAAUCAAGUAGGACUACCCG